AUUUGUUGUUGAUAUUUUGUAGCAAUAUGUUUUGUUUUAUUUCAGACAACAAGAAUGGAUGGUGGUAAUUAUCAUGGGCCUUUCUAUCAAGAAAUAGGUGUGCAAGACAUUCAUUUAAUUGAACCUGGAAAUCAACCACCUCAGCUAAGAGAAAAUAUUUUAACAAUAGGUGUUGUUUUAGAACUUGUGAAAUCGGCUAAUAGACCAGUUGAUUGUUAUUGUUUACAUUCGGGAUUUUUCGCGCAUGCCCACUGCCUGGUUGGCAAAAAGAUCAACAUCCUGUAUGAGAAAACCAUGGCGAGCAUCGAUAGUAGUUGCUAUUCUGAUCAUUAUUUUACGUUAAUAGAGGCGGAUAGACGUAAUCAACAAAAAUUGACGGUAGAUGGACAUCUUAUCAAAGAUCCAUACACGAUUUCAUCCGAAUGUUGGCAAGAAAACUGUUGUCAGUGGCCGAAUGUCCAGUACGGUGAUGUGUGGAACUACCUCGUACAUACACCAGGGCAAUAUACACAAGAAGUCAUGAAAUCAUACAAAUCUCUGGACGGAUACUAUUAUUCUUUAUCAGGAAACGUGCAGAAAAUACUGUACCACGACAUUCCCGAAACCUCUGUGUGUAUUCUGACUGCCUAAGUUGUACCCUCACAGAAAGUAAACGACAAGAAGCAGUGGCACCAUCCCUGGCUUCUUGUGAAGAAGCAAACUGGCCACAUAGUUGCUGCUCAUUGCACAUGUAAAGCAGGGUAAAUUGUGUUUCUGUAAUCUUAUGAUGUGCUGUUUUAUCACUGUGCUGCAUACGCUUUGUGGUUUUAUUGUGCGGCAUAGUUUGUGUGCAUUCUAAUUGAGAAGUUAUGUCCCUUAGUAGUAAUAUUGUCAUUAUAAACACAGUUUUUCCUGGGUUGUUAAAGUCAACGAAAUUUGUUAAAAACUGCUUCUCCCUCACGAUGGAAAUUUACAAGUGUAAAUGCCAGUUGGCCAGGUUUAUGACAUGAGGCCAUGUAUUCCGGGCGUCGGGUCUCUGUGACAAACUGGAGCGGAAAAGUCAGAUCUUUGCAGAUGGUGUGCUGAAGGGAGAUAGUGGUCACCGUGUAGAUCUCGAACCCUUGAUACCAUGGCUCUACAAAGUACCCCUGUGGCAAGUAUGACAGGGAAGUGUCCUGGAGCGAGAAAGCCAUCCUUUGCGACAAUUGUGAUCGAAGGUUCCAUAUAGACUGCCAAG